GCCCUGAGUUAUAAACCAACUACUCCGCGUACUUAUGCCAUGGGAGUGCACUCCAUGGCAUGGGGAACGGACUCGUGCAGGAUCGAUAGGAUCGUGGGAAAUCGUACCUCGAAAAGAAGAAGAAGAAUGAACUACUUUUCCAAGUAAUUAGUUGCAUUUGAUGAUCGUGAUGGAGGCAGAGAGUGCUGCUGAUCGCGAUCCAGAUCCGGGUCAAGAAUCACCUCCUGAUCCUAAGGAAACCUCAGCUGACGUAGAUCUACGUUCUCUUCGCGUGAACGCUCAGUCUGUGUUGGCUUGGGCCACAGAGCGUUCCGAAUCCCAGCCGCUAAAGACCCACAGAAGGCAAGAAGCUUGCGUUGCAAAGCUGCUGUCCCGCCUGACUGCGGAGAAAGAAGACUCGUUUAUGGUUGUUCUACAGCCGCUGCUGACGUCCAUCACUUCAGCUCUGUCCUGCUCCCAGCAGCAGAUAAGCUUGGAUUUCAUUGAGUCGUGUCCCAACUCCGGUGUGAACGAUUUCCCGACGUCAAGACGAAGUGGGGUCAAGUUAUGGGUGUUGCAAGGAAGCUGUCACAAGAUGAUCCAGUAUUGAACGGCUACAGCACAACCGAGAGAACGAAAUGUACGUCGCAAUCAAGCUAUGUCGUUGCCAUCUUCUAUGUGCCAUGCGUUACCUGAUGUGCCAGCCUGCUAUGUCGGAUACCGCUAACCAUGCAUCGACUAGGCGCCAGGCGCGAACUGAUGGUGGUGGUAGUGAUGAGAAGGAGAGCUCUGUGCCAGAAUAAAUUUGCAGUUUAGAGAGCGUGUCUGGGCAGGUGUGUAUUUACCGCCAUAUUGCCAGGUGUGUAUUUACC